UCAGCUCUCAAUGUAUCUGUGACCACCCAAGGUUUCCAUUGCACUGCCCUCUGGGGUUGAAGUAGCACUGACCACUGAUCCAACAACAUCUAUUGCUGUAUUUUGUCAAGCUUGUUAAUGUUGUGAUAAGAACAACUAAUUUCUGAACCUACUGGUGACCGACAGUGCAUCAGUACCUCAGGUGUCUCCUUCAUCUCUCAGAGCAUCUCAACCCUCAUUGCAUCUUGAAGCACCCUUGCAGUGACGCAGCAUAAGGGGCCAUCAGUGAACAGAAGCCUUGCAAAGUAGCAGCAACCAUCUCUUGUCUUUGUGACCCCAGUGAACUGCAACAAGAAAGGGGAGAUAAUGUGUACAUUGGAAGAGACACCAAAUGUCCACUCCAAGGUCAUUCAGAGAACCACCCCACUUCAGAGCAGCUCAUCCGCCCAGGACGGACUGUCCCAGGAAAGGGACACUGCACCUGAAACCCCCUGUCCUGCAGACAGCCCUGGGCACUGUGUCUUUGUGUCUCUGCCCACUUCCAGGU